GGAGUUUGGGCCGUGUCUCAGUCCCAAUGUGGCCGAUCACUCUCUCAAGUCGGCUAUUGAUCGUCGCCUUGGUAGGCCGUUACCCCACCAACUAGCUAAUCAGACGCGGGUCCAUCUUGUACCGAAAUAACUUUUCACACUGCUUCAUGCGAAGCUGUGCGCUUAUGCGGUAUUAGCAGUCGUUUCCAACUGUUGUCCCCCUGUACAAGGUAGGUUACCCACGCGUUACUCACCCGUCCGCCACUCAGUCAACAAAUCGUCACCCCGAAGGGAUCGUAAUAAGUUGCUUCGUUCGACUUGCAUGUGUUAAGCACGCCGCCAGCGUUCAUC
rnacentral:rRNA from 1 species